rnacentral:rRNA from 1 species
CGCGUAGGCGGUUUGUUAAGUCGGAUGUGAAAUCCCCGGGCUCAACCUGGGAAUUGCAUUCGAUACUGGCAAGCUAGAGUAUGGGAGAGGAAGGUAGAAUUCCAGGUGUAGCGGUGAAAUGCGUAGAGAUCUGGAGGAAUACCGAUGGCGAAGGCAGCCUUCUGGCCUAAUACUGACGCUGAGGUGCGAAAGCAGUGGGGAGCAAACA